rnacentral:rRNA from 1 species
AUUGAACGCUGGCGGCAUGCCUUACACAUGCAAGUCGAACGGUAACGGGCCUUCGGGUGCCGACGAGUGGCGAACGGUGAGUAAUGUAUCGGAACGUACCUUUCAGUGGGGGAUAACGUAGCGAAAGUUACGCUAAUACCGCAUAUUCUGUGAGCAGGAAAGCAGGGGAUCGCAAGACCUUGCGCUGAUUGAGCGGCCGAUAUCAGAUUAGCUAGUUGGUGAGGUAAAGGCUCACCAAGGCGACGAUCUGUAGCGGGUCUGAGAGGAUGAUCCGCCACACUGGAACUGAGACACGGUCCAGACUCCUACGGGAGGCAGCAGUGGGGAAUUUUGGACAAUGGGGGCAACCCUGAUCCAGCCAUGCCGCGUGAGUGAAGAAGGCCUUCGGGUUGUAAAGCUCUUUCGGCCGGGAAGAAAUCGUAUGGGUUAAUACCCUGUGCGGAUGACGGUACCGGCAUAAGAAGCACCGGCUAACUACGUG